GAUGAAGAACGCAGCGAAAUGCGAUACUUGGUGUGAAUUGCAGAAUCCCGUGAACCAUCGAGUCUUUGAACGCAAGUUGCACCCGAAGCCAUUAGGCCGAGGGCACGCCUGCCUGGGCGUCACACGUCGUUGCCCCCCAUCUACUCCUUCGGGAUCGCGGGGGGCGGAUGAUGGCCUCCCGUGCGCCUCGUCGCGCGGUUGGCAUAAAUGCCAAGUCCUCGGCGACGCACGCCACGACAAUCGGUGGUUGCGAAACCUCGGUUGCCCGUCGUGUGCGGUCGUCGCGCAUCGAGGGCUCGAAAAAAUUGCCGGGCUCCGGCUCGGCUUUCAACGCGACCCCAGGUCAGGCGGGGUUACCCGCUGAAUUUAAGCAUAUCAAUAAGCGGAGGA
rnacentral:misc_RNA from 1 species